rnacentral:lncRNA from 1 species
AUUCAUACAUAGUGAGUUUGGUUUGUGAUAUACCAUUUUCAUUGGUUUAUUUACUUAUGAUAGUUUGAUUAAACGAGUUUUGGUUUGGGUGAAAACCAUUUUAUUGGGGUAUAUUGAUAUCGAGUUAGAGCCGCGAACAGACGAGGAUGCCACCAUUUUCUUGUAUAUUCGAUGUUGCUAGGUACUUGUUAUUUUUACAUCAGCAGUUGAAAUUUGGUGUUGCUUGAUUUUCACUGUGCAUUUCCUAUUUUUUCAAUUCGGUUAUUGUAUCGGGUUGUUUAUAUUUAAGUACUGUUAUGAAAUUAUGACCUUGUAAAUAGUUGGAUUGGUGCUGUUAUUUUUUAGCACUGUUAUGGACUUAUGGCAUUGAAAUCAUUAUUUAUUUGUUUCGGAUGUAAAUACACACCAUAUUCCUUGCUGCUAUUAGUUAUAAUUUUUGCAAGGUUUGAAAAAGUCAAGAUAUUCAUCAUAUUCAUUAAUAAAAGCCAUU